GGGAAGGAGCCGCCCGGGCGCCGGCGAAAACUCCUGGGAACGGGAGGGAGGCGGGAGAGGCCAGCGCGGCUGGAGUGCUGGGCUCGGGGCCCAGCGCGGCGCGAGGGAAGAACGGCGGGCGGGCCAGAGCCUAGCCAGGCUUUGGGUGGGCUCCGCGCUUACAGGGGGCGGAACGGCCCUGUCCGGCCGCGCGGGGGCGACACACACAAGGUGCCGGGCCUGGCCUUUCUCUGCAGCCUGCGCCGCCCUCUCCAUCGCCCCGUUCAGGGGAGGGGGUUCAUGGAGGCUGCUGGCCCGCUCGGGGCGGGGCCGGCUCCAGGGCUCUGCCCCGCGCGCAGCCCUCAGCGGCCUGGGGUCAGCGGCCAGGGGAGAAAACGGCAGGUGGCUCCGGCCACAGUCGGGUCAUGAGGAGAUCGUCAGAGGCCCAGCCCCCUCACGCGCCCCAGCAGUGGCCCCAGGGUGGGGCAAGCUGUCGGUACCGCACAGGGUCACACGGAACGUUUUCGCUACGAACGGGGCUGGGAGCAAGACGCUGUUCACGGGGGUAUCUGUGUAAUUCAGAUUCUAAGUCCCCUGCACUCGGGGAACUUUUACCGUCGGCCUCCAUGUUGUAGAAGCCCAGUGACACUGCUGAAUGUCCUAAAGACCUGCAGAAUGGUACAUCCUGCAGCAUCCGGGAGAGUAGGGUGUUGACCUUCCUCAUUUGUGGAGCCUAGGCACAAAUCACUAAGCAGGCUAUAAUGUCAUAUGAGAACACAUUCCAGGAAUCUCUAUGAAGAUAACAGAAACCCUGUAACAUCAAGCCAAUCAAGUAGAGAAGAGAAGGACAUGGAACUACUAAAGGCUGAAUGUCCAACAAUGUAGCUGCUACUGAGAACUAGCCCUUUCCAGAAUAUGAAACUCAUAGUGCUUCUUGCUUGUUCUCAGCCUAAACUUGUUAGCUGAGUUACUUUGUUUCUUCAGUGCAUUUUGGGCUGCUGACAUUGUAGGGAACGUAGCUAGAACUGUAUAUGUGGAGGCCAAGUCACUAGGUUUGGAGGGUUCAGUGUUCACAUUACUAUCUCCACUGCCACAAUAACGAUGUUGGUGUUGCUGUUGUGUCUGUAGACACUGGGGAUUCCUUAGCCACCGAAUCUUGGCACCAACUUUAAAAAGUUCUCCAAAUAGUUUUUCAGCUUCCAUACGAGUUAUUCCUUCUGGCAGUUCAGUAAUUUCUAAGACUUUUCCAACAACUGAAACAAGAAAUAUGUAGAAUUAAAACUGGUCAUUACAUUUAACAAGGAUUCAAUCUUACAUAAAAUAGUGAAGUUACAGUAGAUCUGAAAUUAACUCUGUCAAACAAACAUACAUUCUGCUUUUACUAUUUUUAAAAAGUCUUUAUGGCACUGAACAUCAAAACUAUUAAAGUUCCAAGUGCAUUCAACUGGAGUUAAGCAUGCAGGCUAAAAGGUAGUACCAGGCGCUAAAUAAUUAAUAGUUUAUCUUAUAUGAACAUUUAGUUUGCAGCAAGCUGGGGUGAGAGUCUAUUCCACCCUGCUGCCCAUAGGGACCCUGCUGAUGCAUACCUUACCGUUUCAUAGUACGGUAGAUCAAAGUGCAGUAACUGUGCGCGUCAGCAGGCUCCCUAAGAACAGUUAGUCUUAAAUCCUCAGUUCUGACUUAAGGGCUUAUCUGCAUGAACUUGUAGUUAGCAGCAAGUUGGGGUGUGAAUGCAUCCUGCACUAACACUUGGAUGAUCUAUUAAUGGGAUAAAAAAUAUGGUUGCAAUAAAAAUGUGGGACAGCGAGAACUGUGACUUGCUUCACUCACAGCAAUGUAAAACUUACAAGAAAACACAGCUUUGGCUAUCUGCUCUCAUGGCAGAGACUACCUAAGGAAAGCAGCCCAGCUUCCUUCUGUAUUCACUGAUCCACAAAGAGAGUUGGUGGUAAUACACAAAACAAUUCUUUGCCAUCACAAAAAAAUCAUUUAUCUGAGGAUUUCAAAAUGAUUUACAAAAAUUAAACCUCACAGUACCCAUUUCACAUAUAGAUAAACUGAGGAACUUAAAUGAUUUGUUCAAGGUGUCACAGACAGAACUAAGUUCUAUAUAUGUUGUCAAAGAGCAAAUAAUGCCAGCUGGGGGAAGGAGGAUGUUAGUUUCCCCCUUGUGCACCUGAUCUUGUCCAGUCAAAAUGAACUCUCCCCCAAAUCUCCUUUCAGGGCCUAUCUAACAACCCAACAGAGAAAUAGAUUUUGAACAGUCAAUGGAACACAGUCCUAGCAUUCUGGCCAUGCCCUGCCCCAUUUAUUAGGUAGCACUUGUUGCCCGUGGUCUGCACAAUGGAGAGAGGUUGUACCUUUGUUCCACCCAUCAUAUUUAUUGGCAACAAAUGCAGUGUUCUGAUUUGUCAGGAAAAAAAAUAUGUAAAUCAGGAAUGAAUUUAGUUGAUGUAUUACAUUCAUAGUUCUGGUAAGCUAAGGGAAGUUAUGGAAGAAUUUUGUAUAAUAUUAAACAUGUAACUUACAAAUAUUUUGGUAUUAACUUUUAUAUUAAAUAAUUUUACUUA